rnacentral:rRNA from 1 species
AUGGCGAAGAUGGCAAGGUCGACGAGGAGGACGUCUAAUCUCAAUAGCACCUUGCUGCUGCUAUCGCUGCUGCUGCUUACCUGCUUCUUCCAGCAGGCCAGCGGCCAUGGCGGCGUCGACCAUGGUGACGGCGAUGAGGACGACGAGGGCCACCACGGCGACGUGGGCGUCCGCGGUGGCGGGCUCCGGUCCAGGGGCCUCAUCGCCGUGAAGGUGUGGUGCCUGGUGAUCCUGCUGGUGUUCACCUUCCUGGGCGGCGUGUCCCCCUACUUCUACCGCUGGAACGAGGCCUUCCUGCUCCUCGGCACCCAGUUCGCCGCCGGCAUCUUCCUCGGCACCGCGCUCAUGCACUUCCUCGCCGGCUCCACCUCCACCUUCAACGCCCUCACCCACAGCCCCUACCCCUUCUCCUUCAUGCUCGCCUGCGCCGGCUUCCUCCUCACCAUGCUCAGUGACGUCGCCAUCGUCGCCGUCGCCAACAGGCAGAGGGUCAACCAGGCGGCGCCCAUCCAGAAAGACGCGGAGGAGGAGGGCGAGUCAACGUCGGCGGGGCCGGUGGCGGCGCACGCGCACCCUAUGCUCAUGACGGCGACGUCGUCGUUCGAGGAUGCGAUCCUCCUCAUCUUCGCGCUCUGCUUCCACUCCAUCUUCGAGGGGAUCGCCAUAGGCGUUUCGGCGACGAAGGGCGAGGCAUGGAGGAACCUCUGGACGAUCGGGCUCCACAAGAUCUUUGCGGCGGUGGCCAUGGGCAUUGCGCUCCUCCGAAUGAUCCCCAAGCGCCCGUUUCUCAUGACGGUGCUCUACUCGCUGGCGUUCGCCGUGUCAAGCCCGGUUGGGGUGGGCAUCGGAAUCGCCAUCGACGCCACGGCGGAGGGCCCGGCGGCAGACUGGACAUACGCCAUCUCCAUGGGGAUCGCCACGGGGAUCUUCGUCUACGUCGCCAUAAACCACCUCAUGGCCAGGGGGUACCGCCCACAGCAACCAAAUUACUUCGACAAGCCCAUCUUCAAGUUCCUCGGUGUGCUCACCGGCGUCGCUGUCAUGGCCGUGGUCAUGAUAUGGGACUGA